rnacentral:rRNA from 1 species
GGUUAAGCGACUAAGCGUACACGGUGGAUGCCCGGCAGUCAGAGGCGAUGAAGGACGUGCUAAUCUGCGAAAAGCGUCGGUAAGGUGAUAUGAACCGUUAUAACCGGCGAUGUCCGAAUGGGGAAACCCAGUGCGAUUCGUUGCACUAUCGUUAACUGAAUACAUAGGUUAACGAGGCGAACCGGGGAACUGAAACAUCUAAGUACCCCGAGGAAAAGAAAUCAACCGAGAUUCCCCCAGUAGCGGCGAGCGAACGGGGAGCAGCCCAGAGUCUGAAUCAGCUUGUGUGUUAGUGGAACGGUCUGGAAAGUCCGACGGUACAGGGUGAUAGUCCCGUACACCAAAAUGCACAGGUUGUGAACUCGAAGAGUAGGGCGGGACACGUGGUAUCCUGUCUGAAUAUGGGGGGACCAUCCUCCAAGGCUAAAUACUCCUGACUGACCGAUAGUGAACCAGUACCGUGAGGGAAAGGCGAAAAGAACCCCGGCGAGGGGAGUGAAAAAGAACCUGAAACCGUGUACGUACAAGCAGUGGGAGCACCUUCGGGUGUGACUGCGUACCUUUUGUAUAAUGGGUCAGCGACUUAUAUUCUGUAGCAAGGUUAACCGUAUAGGGGAGCCGCAGGGAAACCGAGUCUUAACUGGGCGUUAAGUUGCAGGGUAUAGACCCGAAACCCGGUGAUCUAGCCAUGGGCAGGUUGAAGGUUGGGUAACACUAACUGGAGGACCGAACCGACUAAUGUUGAAAAAUUAGCGGAUGACUUGUGGCUGGGGGUGAAAGGCCAAUCAAACCGGGAGAUAGCUGGUUCUCCCCGAAAGCUAUUUAGGUAGCGCCUCGUGAACUCAUCUUCGGGGGUAGAGCACUGUUUCGGCUAGGGGGUCAUCCCGACUUACCAACCCGAUGCAAACUACGAAUACCGAAGAAUGUUAUCACGGGAGACACACGGCGGGUGCUAACGUCCGUCGUGAAGAGGGAAACAACCCAGACCGCCAGCUAAGGUCCCAAAGUCAUGGUUAAGUGGGAAACGAUGUGGGAAGGCACAGACAGCCAGGAUGUUGGCUUAGAAGCAGCCAUCAUUUAAAGAAAGCGUAAUAGCUCACUGGUCGAGUCGGCCUGCGCGGAAGAUGUAACGGGGCUAAACCAUGCACCGAAGCUGCGGCAGCGACACUAUGUGUUGUUGGGUAGGGGAGCGUUCUGUAAGCCUGCGAAGGUGACCUGUGAGGGUUGCUGGAGGUAUCAGAAGUGCGAAUGCUGACAUAAGUAACGAUAAAGCGGGUGAAAAGCCCGCUCGCCGGAAGACCAAGGGUUCCUGUCCAACGUUAAUCGGGGCAGGGUGAGUCGACCCCUAAGGCGAGGCCGAAAGGCGUAGUCGAUGGGAAACAGGUUAAUAUUCCUGUACUUGGUGUUACUGCGAAGGGGGACGGAGAAGGCUAUGUUAGCCGGGCGACGGUUGUCCCGGUUUAAGCAUGUAGGCUGAUUGUCCAGGCAAAUCCGGAUAAUCAAGGCUGAGGUGUGAUGACGAGGCACUACGGUGCUGAAGUAACAAAUGCCCUGCUUCCAGGAAAAGCCUCUAAGCAUCAGGUAACAUCAAAUCGUACCCCAAACCGACACAGGUGGUCAGGUAGAGAAUACCAAGGCGCUUGAGAGAACUCGGGUGAAGGAACUAGGCAAAAUGGUGCCGUAACUUCGGGAGAAGGCACGCUGGUGUGUAGGUGAAGUCCCUGCGGAUGGAGCUGAGACCAGUCGAAGAUACCAGCUGGCUGCAACUGUUUAUUAAAAACACAGCACUGUGCAAACACGAAAGUGGACGUAUACGGUGUGACGCCUGCCCGGUGCCGGAAGGUUAAUUGAUGGGGUUAUCCGUAAGGAGAAGCUCUUGAUCGAAGCCCCGGUAAACGGCGGCCGUAACUAUAACGGUCCUAAGGUAGCGAAAUUCCUUGUCGGGUAAGUUCCGACCUGCACGAAUGGCGUAAUGAUGGCCGGGCUGUCUCCACCCGAGACUCAGUGAAAUUGAACUCGCUGUGAAGAUGCAGUGUACCCGCGGCAAGACGGAAAGACCCCGUGAACCUUUACUAUAGCUUGACACUGAACAUUGAGCCUUGAUGUGUAGGAUAGGUGGGAGGCUUUGAAGCGUGGACGCCAGUCUGCGUGGAGCCAACCUUGAAAUACCACCCUUUAAUGUUUGAUGUUCUAACGUUGGCCCCUGACCGGGGUUGCGGACAGUGUCUGGUGGGUAGUUUGACUGGGGCGGUCUCCUCCCAAAGCGUAACGGAGGAGCACGAAGGUUAGCUAAUCCUGGUCGGACAUCAGGAGGUUAGUGCAAUGGCAUAAGCUAGCUUGACUGCGAGCGUGACGGCGCGAGCAGGUGCGAAAGCAGGUCAUAGUGAUCCGGUGGUUCUGAAUGGAAGGGCCAUCGCUCAACGGAUAAAAGGUACUCCGGGGAUAACAGGCUGAUACCGCCCAAGAGUUCAUAUCGACGGCGGUGUUUGGCACCUCGAUGUCGGCUCAUCACAUCCUGGGGCUGAAGUAGGUCCCAAGGGUAUGGCUGUUCGCCAUUUAAAGUGGUACGCGAGCUGGGUUUAGAACGUCGUGAGACAGUUCGGUCCCUAUCUGCCGUGGGCGCUGGAGAAUUGAGGGGGCUGCUCCUAGUACGAGAGGACCGGAGUGGACGCAUCACUGGUGUUCGGGUUGUCAUGCCAAUGGCACUGCCCGGUAGCUAAAUGCGGAAGAGAUAAGUGCUGAAAGCAUCUAAGCACGAAACUUGCCCCGAGAUGAGUUCUCCUGAGACUUUAAGUCUCCUGAAGGAACGUUGAAGACGACGACGUUGAUAGGCCGGGUGUGUAAGCGCAGCGAUGCGUUGAGCUAACCGGUACUAAUGAACCGUGAGGCUUAACCUU